CAAAUGAGCAAUUAAGAAGAGACUUGUAGCUCUCUGAUACCCAUAACAAAAAGCAAAAUUGUAGAUGAGAUAGAUAUUUAAUAGAGAGAACCAGAGAAUAAGAUAAGAGCCUUCAUGGGUUCAGAGCAGCCUUCAAGACUGGAAAGAUCCUCCCCCCGCAGAGGGGCCUUACUUUUAACUGGAUCAAACUGUGGAACAAUUUAUGCCUCAAAGCAUUGCUUCAAAAAAAUAGAACAAUUAGAAAGCAAUUUGUGGAUGCUAAAAGCUAGGCAUGAUAUUAAUAGAAGCAGAAUUUCCCAGGUGCUCAGAGAGAUUAUGUAGGCCAAGUAUGCACAUUCUGAGAAGAAACAUCAGAAGCUAUACACUACUGGGGAAAUAGAAUUCACUGAAAUAGUCCAGUCAUCUCACAUUACUAAACAAAUAGACACACAAACAAGAACAAACAAGAAGUGCCAAAAGGGGUGAGAAAGAUAAGAAUUCAGAGUUGCUACAGUAUAUGAAGUAAAAUAUCCAGUUUUCAAUUCAAAAUCAUGAGACAUGCAAAGCAACAGGAAAGUGUGAGCCAUAUACAGGAAUAUUGUCUGCUUUGUAGAGGCAGACGAUAAAAUCUGCCUCUAGGAAGGCCCAGAUGUCAGAUUUAACAGAAUAAAAAGAACUGAGUCAAAGUAUCCCUUAUAAAUAUAUCAAAAAACUAAAGGGAACCAUGCUUAAAUAUGUUAAAAGAAGCUAUGAUGACAAUGUUUUAGCUGAGAAGAUUAUAAACAUAGCCACAUGUAAGUUCUGGAGUGAAAAGUUCUAUCAUCAAAAUAUAAAAUCCACUAGAGAGGCUCAACAUUAUAUUUGAUACAGUUAGCACAUUUGAAGAUAAAUUGAUAGAGAUUAUGUGACCCAAAAAACAGAGAGAAAAUCAAAUUUUAAAAAAUGUAUAGAAUCUCAGAGAAAUGUGGACACCAUUAAGCAUACCAACAUAUACAUAAAGGGUGUACCUGAAAAAGAGAAGAGAAAGGAGCAGAAAAAAAUAUUUUAAGAAUAAUGAGUGAAAACUAAAAAUUGAUGAAAAAAUGAUCUGCACAUCAAAGAAGCCCAUUGAACCCCAAGUAGGAUGAAUGCAAAAAGAUCUACCCAGGUAUAUCAGAGUAAGAAUGCUGAAAUCUAAAGACAGAAAAUACUGCAAGCAGCAAGUGGAAAAUGACUUUGCUUGGACACAGGAAACUUAGUGAGAUUAAGAUCUUCUCAUCAGGAAUAAUGGCGACCAGGAAAGAGUGGGGUGACAUAUUCAAAGUACUGAAAGAAGAAAUAAAAAACAAAAAAAAGCUGUCAACCAAGAAUUAUACAUCCAGCAAAACUAUCUGUAAAAAUGAAGAUGAAAUAA
rnacentral:lncRNA from 1 species